rnacentral:rRNA from 1 species
AACGAACGCUGGCGGCAUGCCUAACACAUGCAAGUCGAACGAGACCUUCGGGUCUAGUGGCGCACGGGUGCGUAACGCGUGGGAACCUGCCCUUAGGUUCGGAAUAACUCCCCGAAAGGGGUGCUAAUACCGGAUAAUGUCUUCGGACCAAAGAUUUAUCGCCUUUGGAUGGGCCCGCGUUGGAUUAGCUAGUUGGUAGGGUAAAAGCCUACCAAGGCGACGAUCCAUAGCUGGUCUGAGAGGAUGAUCAGCCACACUGGGACUGAGACACGGCCCAGACUCCUACGGGAGGAAGCAGUGGGGAAUUUUGGACAAGGGGCGAAAGCCUGAUCCAGCAAUGCCGGGUGAGUGAUGAAGGCUUUAGGGUUGUAAAGCUCUUUUCCCCGGGAUGAUAAUGACAGUACCGGGAAAAUAAGCCCCGGCCAACUCCGU